GGAUGGGGAGGGGGCGAUUUAUAGGGCGUUUCGGUGGUUCGCAUGGUUUGUCGGGGUGGUUAGAGGUUUCAUGGUCACUGCGUCAUGUGAAGGCGGGCUUUACGUGCUGUUGAUGUGCAUGGGAAUCGGUCAUGGUCAAUAUCGUUGACCAGGCCCCAAGAGUAUGAUUCGUUUCCCUCAACGCCACCUCUGCCAUAGAUAGCCUUCCCUUCUCUCUACCCAAAGAGCAAGCAUCUCCCAUGGCUUCACCAUACUGCGGCCUUCCUCGAAUCCACUUCUUGUCCACAAAACCUUACAGGAAAUCAAUCAGAUCAGCGCCUUCUCCUCGCCUUUCGACGCAACAGGAAGCGCCAUCGAGGAAGAGAUGCCUCAGAUGCGGAGAGCUUUACCAAGACAGUGACAACUCCCCCACAGCUUGCUCCUUCCAUGGCCACACGACAGGGGAGAAAGGGCUGUUCUCGUUGGCGCCGCCGCAUCAGGGGAUCGACGGGGAGUGGAGCGACAGAAGCGGCGUGAUCGUCUACAGGUGGAACGCGAAGGAGAACAGGCCGAACACGGGGAGCGCCAACUGGAAGAAGAGAUGGAGCUGCUGCGCCGAGUACGACGAGAACGCGCCGGCGUGUCGACGUGGGCGGCAUGUCUCCUACGACGACGGCUUCACCCUCUACUGAUGUCCCCUGGUGAUCCACCAUUACGGCACUGAGUGGCUGAGACUGAGAGUAUCGCAAUCCACCUUAUCCGAUAGAGGUGAAGGAAAUUACAGGUAAUUAAUUAAUUAGACGAAAAUUAUAAGUAAUUAUAUCAUGAAAUGUCAAAUUGCUGACAUUAGUCCACAACCGUCCAUCCGACUCUUCAUUUCAUCUCAAUCGUCCGUAUAUGGAUCAAAUAAAGUGAACGGCUCAGAUUAAAAAGGUGUUUAUAACGUUUGCGUUCCUCCCGUCUGCCGUUGCGUUCGUCUCUCGUCCGUGGAAGAUAGAAAUGGGCCUACCCGCCUCGUGAUUCAACAUAGAAAUGGGCCCCGCUGUGAUUCCAUGCGUCAUGUGAACUCACAAGGCAGGUAAGAAAGACGGUAAUUGAACAGGUAGACCAAUGCGUUCCAUGGUAUUCUUGACCCAACGACAAGUAACGAGGAGUUAAGAUCCGACGCUUAUGGGUGUUCUGAUGAGAUCUGACGGUGAGCAUACAAUGAUCUCCGCAGACGCACGUACGUGCGCUACUUCAAAUAAUCAUGAAGAAUCGCCUCCGCGCGCGCGCUGUUGCUUUUCUUAUCGCCUCUCUGUCUCGUCUCCCAGGAAAAGAGGGGAAAGGGGGAGACGCUUCGGAAGGAAAAGGCGUUGCGAGCUUUGCUAUUGAUUUCCCCAUGGGAGGAGUUUCUGCUGUUGUUUCAAAGACGGCUGCAGCUACUAUUGAACGUGUGCUACUGCUGAUCGCCUCUUUGAACCUUACAAAAGGAAGUACAGACUCCUUUGCCGGAACAAUUAAAGAUGAAGGUGCUUUGUCUUUGUGGAGAGGGAACACAGCUAAUGAUAUCAUUUGUUAUUUUCCCACUCAGGUAAAUGUAUACGUGGUUAUGUUAUGUGUCAUAUGACCUCCGGAGAAGCUGUCAAGUAGCUGUUCGACGAUGCUGGGCGCGAACAAACUCCGUGCCGUAGCUGGUUCUGGUGUUCUUGCCGGUUACGACAAGCUGCAGUUGAUUGUCUUCAAUAGUUUUCGGUAGUGGGAGCUGCUUCCUACAUUUCUGUCAGAUGGCAUCCAAUAUUUGCAUAAACUGUUCGAGCCAGCUUACAAUUGACGCAUGUAAAGCUGUGGAUCAUAGGAUGCAAAGCAUAGACAAGUUGCGGCAAUAAGAUACGAUCAAUGUAAUUAGUCGUCAGACCACAGCUGUACAAAAUCGCCUGUUGAUGGGUACUGGGGAGGAUAGAUAGUUCUCAACAGCAAUUGCCCGGCAUAAGUGAAAUCCACAAAGCCGGGUUGAUAAUAAUCUGCAGUAACUUUCAAUCGAUGAAAUCAUUGGCAAACAGUUUGUUUCAAGAUUUUAAGCUCAACCCGGCUUGAGAAUCAAUCAGACCAUGAACCGGGUUGAUAAUAAUCUGCAGUAACUUUCAAUCGAUGAAAUCAUUGGCAAAGAGUUUGUUUCAAGAUUUUAAGCUCAACCCGGCUUGAGAAUCAA